GCAGUGGUGGUUCAGUGGUAGAAUUCUUGCCUCCAACGCAGGAAACCCAGGUUCAAUUCCCAGCCAGUGUA
rnacentral:tRNA from 1 species